rnacentral:rRNA from 1 species
CCCUUAGAUGUCCUGGGCCGCACGCGCGCUACACCGACAUGUUCAACAAGUUUCUCCUAGUUCGACAGGACUGGGAAAUCUUUGAACGCAUGUCGUGAUAGGGAUAGAUCAUUGCAAUUAUUGAUCUUGAACGAGGAAUUCCUAGUAAACGCGAGUCAUCAGCUCGCAUUGAUUACGUCCCUGCCCUUUGUACACACCGCCCGUCGCACCUACCGAUUGAAUGUUUCGGUGAAGAUUCCGGAUAGGACUGAUUUGAUUUAUUUCAUUUCUGACCUAAAAGCUAUCUAAACCUCAACAUUUAGAGGAAGGUGAAGUCGUAACA